UAUCCAUGUGUGGAUAUCACUUCUAGUGGGUAACUCGUAUGAUCUUAUGUCCAAAGAUCCAACCUCACCUUAAAGUUACAAAAUGAAGUUUGAGUGAGGUUGUAACAUUUGGCCCGACAAAUUGCUUGUGUUUAAUCUUUAAACUUCAACCUUUAAUGCAUUCCAUUUCUGAGAACAUCAAUGUUUGUGCAAAUGAUAACAAUUUAUCCAAAUUAUGGGCAUAUAGAUCUGGAUUUCAGCUGUUAAUUUCUCAUACAUAUGUUAAGUUUUAUGUGAGCAAAAUACAUUUAAUAUUUUCAUAUAAAUAUCUAUUUUAAAUUACAUUUUAUUUUGGUUGUGAACUCAGCUUAACAGGAGCAUUCUUUCCCUGCAUUGUAAAGGAAACAAACCGGCCAUAUCUGCUGUGGUUAAACAUGGAAAUAAUAAAGUUGAUUUGAAAAAUGACGUUUUGCCGAAUAACAAAUGCUUGUUUUAACAAUUCAGAUUAUGUAAAAGAAAAUAAACUACACAAAUUAAAUCUGUUUUCCCUAAUUCCAAGAUUGCAUUGUAAGUCAAGGACAGGCAGGUGAGGACACAUGUAUCUGCAGACAUGUAAAACAUUGUGUAUAGAACAAGGAAUUCAACAUAACAAAAAACAUGGCACACUAGCCUUGUGCUCCUAAAAUAGACUGUCAUUGUAAGUGGCAGUGCCUUUUAUUCUCUGCUGGGUGGAUAACUUCCUCAUAUUAUGGAAGGGGCUGAACACAGAUCUAUUUCCCCAACACAAACAGUGGCUGCCAGCAGAAUCCUCGCUUUGGGAAAACACACCAUCACACUGCUUUCCAGCAGAUGUUGGAUCCUGGCUGCAGGGAUUCACUCCCAUUCAGACAAAAAGAGCAUCAGUGAGGUCCAACACUGAUGUUGGGUGAUCACGUCUGGCUCGCCGCAACAAUUUCGAGACAGCACUUUUAUCUAUUCAUCCAUAAAGGACUAUACUUCAAAAAUGACCACCUUAUUUCUUGUCACUCCUGUGCCUAAGGUAUUAUAUUUAUAACACCCGUUCUCAAGUCUGGUUUACAGUAAAUACUAAUUUUGGAAAGACAGAUUUUAGAUAUGUUGUCACAUUUGUUUAGAAUAAUUUACAGAGAAGACUGAAACUGAUAUUGAUAUGGCAAUUCCAAAAAAUUGGUUAGAGAGUUUAUUGAUUUUAGGUAUGACAUUCAUCUCCUUUUAAUACCUACGCCAAGGAUAUUUCAGAAACCAUUUAUUAAUAAUUUGUCACGCUGUUGUCGAUAUGUUUGUAUAUUUAAAUCUUGAUAUUGCAUUACUAUAUUUUUAUGUCAUUACAAUCAUUAUUAUUUUUUUGAAUUUUUUUUUUAUGUUUGCUCAGGUCUCUCUUGUAUAUGAUAUCUCGAUCUGAAUGUGACUUCAUGAUUAAAUAAUGUGAAAAAAAAUACUAAUAAUAAAUAAAUAAAAAACUUCUGGCAUCCUGGUGGUCUUGGAGUUUUAGGCUGACCAUGUAAUCACAUAGACACAGACUUAAAGUGCUCAGAAAUCAUAAACGCAUCAUAAGGAACAACUUCUCCCCUCUCUAAUAAAGACACUACCUCAAC